CUUAGAGACAACAUAAUGUGGCUCAGACCUGUAAGCCGCUGUCUCUGUCUUCGCUUCUGAAUCCACAAGAGGAGUACGGCGAGAGAGGCGAACAGAAUGGCCCCAAGGAUCCCAAAUGCAACAACGGACGAGCGACCUGGGCACAGGAGAAAAGAGGGGAGACUCAGUUCUGGGAGUAAUAUGUGGAACCACUAUGUCUGUUUCCUGUCUGAGGCUUUAGCCUCUCAACCAAGAAAAUUACUCCUUCCCACCCAAAACUAGAGGUGCCUAGUUUUUCGUCUCUCUGCACACGGAUACAUCAGCAACUAACACACCACUGUAAAGCAACUAUACUCCAAUAAAGGAGAGAACUUCAAGAUGGCGGAGGAGUAAGACAUGGAGAUCACCUUCUUCCCCACAGAUACAUCAGAAAUAUAUCUACAUGUGGAACAACUCCUACAGAACACCUAUCGAAUGCAGGCAGAAGACCUCAGACUUCCCAAAAGGCAAGAAACUCCCCAUGUACCUGGGUAGGGCAAAAGAAAAAAGAAUAAACAGAGACAAAAGAAUAGGGACGGGACCUGCACCUCUGGGAGGGAGCUGUGAAGGAG